CUGCCCCUCCACAGCUUUGGGACUACUGACCUAGAUAUAUGUCCCAUGUGAUGAUGUGACCCCCCUUCCAUUCAUUACACCUGCUUUGUGAAGAAGUUGGUAGCAGCUUGUAAGGAAAACUUGCCACCUCUGUGCUGGGUUUCUGCUCUGCCUGUAGGCUAUGGUUAUCCAGCAUUUCGGCUGUUUCCUGUUCCUGAGCCUCAGGACAAUCCCCAGGGUAAGUAGUCAAGAUGUAUUCACUUCCUAGAAGAAGCUUUUACGUUUCCAGCUUUUCCUGGUGGUGAGUGUAACUGAGUAAGUCGUUGGCUGAUGCUCAGAGCCACAGAAAAGCAGAGUGGGACUCAGGAGGCCUUGAGAGAUGUGCCCCGGGGUGCUUUGCCUUGCAAAGUCUUUGUGCUGCUUCCAAAGCCUGCUGCAAAGCCAGCGGGCUUGCUGGGGUUGAGUUUACAGCUUGCGUGAACUCCAGGGCGUGCUUUCCCGUAGCAGCUCUGUGCCUGCUUAGAUGGGUACCCAUACGGUGCCUGUGCAUGCACCCGGUGAGCGUUUGCAAGAUGCUCGUGAGUGGAAGGGCAUGACAAGGGCCUUGGUGUAGUUCUGUGUUCCUCGCCCUCAUUCACUACCGUUCAAAUCUGUGUUUGGUUACAGAUGUGGCCGACAUUGAUGGGCAUGCAGCUUCUCAGCUGGAUCCCCAUUUUGAACCGCAAGAUGGCCGUGCACGUAAGUCACGAAUAUUUAGCUUCUUUGAGAGCUUCCAUGUCACGGACACAAUAUCAGCCAGAUACCUUGUCAGCUUUACGUAUCUAGAGCUCUAUGUGUGUCCCUUUUUCCCCUUCCAUGUGCUGUCAUUGACUUGAAAAGCUGUGUCUCAAGCUCAAAUGGAAGUGUUUAUCAUGUGUUUUGGAUUACAGCUGUUCCCCUGCAGAGGGCUUAUCCAGCUUCUCAGCUGGAUGCUGUUGCUGAGCCUCCAGGUCUUCCCAGGGGUCGUCCAAGGGCUUUACAGCUGCAGGGGAGACGCAGGGGUAAGUUGUGAGCAUUUCUUUCCUUUGAGAGCUGCCAGGUGCCAGGCAAAAGGUCCUCUCUGCCCCUCCACAGCUUUGAGACUCGCGACCUACAUAUAUGUCCCAUCAUGCCCCUCCCCCCCCAUUCGCUUCCAUUUCGCUUUUGAAAGCACCAAGGGGCCGUGUGUUUGUCCUGGGGGUGCUUGGGGGCUGCUGGGUUGUGCCUCGACGGAGGAUUUUGGAGAGGCGCCAGGUCCCAGCCAACAAGUACCCCUGGCCCUAUUGCAGCUGGGAGACUCUCAAACUACAUGUGUGUCCCCCAUUCCCGGCAAGUCACUUCUACAGAAGUAUGUUGCAGCACAUAAUGAAAACUUGUCUUGUCUGUGUUUGCUCAUAGGUGUUCCUGCAGGCAGGGGCCUCCCAGGUUCUCUGCUGGAUCCCACUUCUGAGCCUCAGGAGCAUGCCAGGAAUGUGGCCAUAGGUGGUGGAGAUUUAUCUUCUCAUCUGGACUCUGAUUUUGAGUCUCUGGGGAAUCYCAGAGAUGUCCCUGAAGGCAGUGUUUCUCCAGGUUCUCAGGGGCUGAAGCCCCUCCUUGAGCCUUGGGGAAAUAAGUAGUCUCUCUUCCUUUCCUUUUGAUUUUCCUAUUAGUAUUUUCUCCUUUUUCCUCUUUUAUUGCCCUCUUGGGGAAUCCARGGUGCCCAGCACGCAUGCGACCUCCCUGAAGCCCAGAGGCACAGGUAGGGGUAGCGCUGGUUCAGGCUUUCACUGGCCAGUGGGCUCUUGCCCCUGAGAAGUGUCAAUCAGCUUUCUUGUCUGCCGGUGCCAAGAGACCAGAAUCAGCGAUAUAACACCACGGCAUGUAAAAUUGCCUGGGAGUCCCAAACACACAGUGAGAUUAUCAGUCCUGCAAAAGCCAGGAAUGUAUGGGAUUGUCUCCUUUCCUCCAGGUCUUGGUGGUGACAAAGAUGCAAAGGCYGCAGAUCAUAAAGCCCUACAGAUGUACUAUUUGGUCCUCCCUGCCGCAGUCUUGGGUUCCAUGCUGUUUGUCAUAGUGCUGAGCUGUAUAGUUACUUCCCGGCUGAGGAAGAGAAAACA
rnacentral:lncRNA from 1 species